AAAUUGAAGAGUUUGAUCAUGGCUCAGAUUGAACGCUGGCGGCAGGCCUAACACAUGCAAGUCGAACGGUAACAGGAAGCAGCUUGCUGUUUCGCUGACGAGUGGCGGACGGGUGAGUAAUGUCUGGGAAACUG
rnacentral:rRNA from 1 species